CCUACGGGUGGCUGCAGUGAGGAAUAUUGGUCAAUGGACGAGAGUCUGAACCAGCCAAGUAGCGUGAAGGAUGACUGCCCUAUGGGUUGUAAACUUCUUUUAUAUGGGAAUAAAAUGUUCCACGUGUGGGAUUUUGUAUGUACCAUAUGAAUAAGGAUCGGCUAACUCCGUGCCAGCAGCCGCGGUAAUACGGAGGAUCCGAGCGUUAUCCGGAUUUAUUGGGUUUAAAGGGAGCGUAGGUGGAUUGUUAAGUCAGUUGUGAAAGUUCGCGGCUCAACCGUAAAAUUGCAGUUGAAACUGGCAGUCUUGAGUACAGUAGAGGUGGGCGGAAUUCGUGGUGUAGCGGUGAAAUGCUUAGAUAUCACGAAGAACUCCGAUUGCGAAGGCAGUUCACUGGACUGCAACUGACACUGAGGCUCGAAAGUGUGGGUAUCAAACAGGAUUAGAUAACCUAGUAGUC
rnacentral:rRNA from 1 species